rnacentral:rRNA from 1 species
UACGUAGGGGGCAAGCGUUGUCCGGAAUCAUUGGGCGUAAAGAGCGUGUAGGUGGCUCGGUAAGUCCGCUGUGAAAGUCCAGGGCUCAACCCUGGAAAGCCGGUGGAAACUGUCGAGCUCGAGUCCGGAAGAGGCGAGUGGAAUUCCUGGUGUAGCGGUGAAAUGCGCAGAUAUCAGGAGGAACGCCAAUGGCGAAGGCAGCUCGCUGGGACGGUACUGACACUGAGACGCGAAAGCGUGGGGAGCAAACAGG